rnacentral:lncRNA from 1 species
CAGCCUGAGCACUGCUAGAAAACCCUCCCAGGACGAUGUUUUGAAGGAGGAACAAGGAAGAGAAUGUGGUUGGAAGCCAUAUAAACACUACUGGAGUUAGUCGCCUGACAUUCUAUGCCAGACUUGGUGACAACGGACAAGACUGUGAGAACACAAACCUUCGGCACGUGAAGCAGAGGUGGAGGGACCACAUGGCUACAGCCAGGAAGCCAGAGCCUGACAGAGCAAGGCAGGCACAGAAAGGCAGGCUCCCCCGGGGAACCUUCCUGCUGGCACGGUCCUCACACUGGACCUGUCAAUCACAGUGCUCACUCUUAGCUCAGAGAGACGCAAGGCCUGGCUCUGGGGUGUGGGGUAGGUAGCUCAGGCAUAUAGGAAUAACGACUGCCUGGUUACGAUGAAAUGUAGAAACCUGUACCUGCGCUGGAGAGAUGGCUCGGCGGUUGAGAGCACUGGCUGCUCUUGCAGAGGACUUGAAUUUGGUAUCUAGCACCAACAUGAAAUGGCUCCCAACUGCCUGCAACCCCAGCCCCAGAUCAAAUGCCAUUUUCUGGCCUCCAUGGGGACCUACAUGCACAUGGCAUGUAUAUAGCACACAUGCACACACAUACACACUAGUACUGAGGUACUGGAGAGAUGACUCAGUGGCUAAGGGUGUGUGCUGCUCUUACAGAGCAUAUCACACCAGGCAGCUCACAACUGUCUGUAACUCCGGCUCUAGGGGAUCCACCCCUCUAGGAUCCACAGGUAACUAGGUAACUAUACUCAUGUGCACACAAACACUGAGAAACACACACACA